ensembl:lncRNA
UGAUACCUGGUCGUGUAUCAGUGGGGACUGUGGGAAUGAGAUCAGUUUAGUGGUUAACACAGUGGACCAGGGGAUAUCUGAGGACUGGUGUCAGACAGAGGGAGUCAUGACUAGACACGUCUCCAAUAACACACAGACUUUUGAUCUGCUAUUGGAUGGCGGAAACUGGAUAAACAAUGUUAAUUCUGUUAGUGCUUGGAGGCUGUGGACUCAUGUGGAUCUUGGGGUCAGGUCUGACACGAAGACAAUCAACCGAUCUCCACAGACCACUGUCGUACCUCUGAUGCGUGUCCCUGCUAAUUGUCCAAGAGAUUUCAACCUGUUGUCGUUUGAUCCAGACGGGGAUGAGGUCAGAUGCAGAUAUGCAGUACCAACGGACGAGUGUGUCACAUCAAGUGACCUUCCUAAUGACUUCACUCUACAAGAGAACUGCACCUUGUCAUUUUGGGGCAACAGUAGUACCACUGGAACAUAUGCAGUUCAGAUAGUGAUGGAGGAUUUCCCGACUCAGACCAUCUCUCUCUCCUAUACUGACGGAUCUCAAUCUAUCAGGACCUCAAACAACACACUCUGCAAACUACCUGUUCAGUUUGCAGUGAGAGUGGACCCCCCGGUGACAUCCUGUAUGGAGGGCUUGUACCUACCUAUGUUCCUGUCUCCAACGCCAGCCCAGGGUGCACUGCUCUACGCCUCUGCAGACCAACCCCUGGAAAUCACUGUCAGAGCACAGGCUACCCAGUCCACGGUUUCAGAGCUGUUGGUGAGUGGACCUUCCAGUAUCACAGAGAACACCACUGUCCCAGGAGAAUACCUUCUAAGGUGGACGCCCACUGAGGAUGAGGAGGGAGGGUACUAUCCUGUGUGCUUCAUCGCUCAGGGAGUGAACGACAGUUCCAUGUAUCACUCUGAGCUGCGCUGCCUGAUCGUCAGGGUUGGAAACACAAGUGCCAUCAGAACAACAGAGGAACCAACAACCUCUCCUCCUCUGGCAAUAAACCUCACAAC